GCAAAUGCCCCAUCCUUCAUUACCGAAUGGGCCAUUUUGUAUUGGGCUUUCAACAAGCCCUAUAUAAAACAUCUCUCUGUUAUACUUCUCAUUUCGCAGAAAAACCCUAAAAAAAGUAGAGCCGCAGAACGCUCAGAAGCUCUCAUUCCAAACGAAAAUGGUAGAGAAUUUUAUUCACUUUGCUUCUUUUUCAAUUUAUUUUUUCUCUUAGUAAUCCACUGAAGUAUAAUCUCUCUCUCUUUUUUUUUUUUCCAGACUUUCAAGAGAAGAAACGGAGGUCGUAACAAACAUGGACGUGGCCACACCAAAUUUAUUCGCUGCUCUAAUUGCGGCAAAUGCUGCCCAAAGGUCAUUUCCAAUUUUCUAUUUAUUGAAUAUCUUUUUCAAUAUGAA
rnacentral:lncRNA from 1 species